GCGAACGGGUGCGUAACGCGUAUGCAACCUACCUUCUUCUGAGGAAUAGCCCAGAGAAAUUUGGAUUAAAACCUCAUGAUAAUAUUUAUUCGCAUGUUUAAAUAUUUAAAAUUUCGAUGGAAGAAGAUGGGCAUGCGUAACAUUAGUUUGUUGGUGAGGUAAUGGCUCACCAAGACUACGAUGUUUAGGGGGUCUGAGAGGAUGAUCCCCCACACUGGUACUGAGACACGGACCAGACUCCUACGGGAGGCAGCAGUGAGGAAUAUUGGUCAAUGGACGAAAGUCUGAACCAGCCAUGCCGCGUGAAGGAUGACUGCCCUACGGGUUGUAAACUUCUUUUGUAUAGGAAGAAACCCCUCUACGUGUAGAGGGUUGACGGUACUAUUCGAAUAAGCACCGG
rnacentral:rRNA from 1 species